UAGACGUGGCGGAUGCUUACACAUGCAUGUCGAACGUGAAAGCACUUCGGUGUGAGUAGAGUGGCGGACGGGUGAGUACGCGUGGGAAUCUACCCAGUAGUGGGGGACAACUACCGGAAACGGUAGCUAAUACCGCAUACGCCCUAUGGGGGAAAGGCUUCGGCCGCUAUUGGAUGAGCCCGCGUCAGAUUAGCUAGUUGGUAGGGUAAAGGCCUACCAAGGCAACGAUCUGUAGCUGGUCUGAGAGGACGAACAGCCACACUGGGACUGAGACACGGCCCAGACUCCUACGGGAGGCAGCAGUGGGGAAUAUUGGACAAUGGGCGAAAGCCUGAUCCAGCAAUGCCGCGUGUGUGAAGAAGGCCUGCGGGUUGUAAAGCACUUUCAGUUGGGAAGAUGAUGACGUUACCAACAGAAGAAGCACCGGCUAAAUCCGUGCCAGCAGCCGCGGUAAUACGGAUGGUGCGAGCGUUAAUCGGAAUUACUGGGCGUAAAGCGCGCGUAGGCGGCUAAGUCAGUCAGAAGUGACAGCCCCGGGCUCAACCUGGGAAAUUGCUUUUGAAUACUGCUUAGCUAGAGUUUUGGUAGAGGAUAGUGGAUUCCAGGUGUACGGUGAAAGCGUGAUAUCGGAGAACCCGG
rnacentral:rRNA from 1 species